AAGCAAUGGAGAGUUCAGUGCAUGGAAAUGGUUUUGCUCAGUUACAGAGCUGUGGGGAUAGCAGUGAAGAGGAGUUAUCUGUGCUCCCAAGGCAUACUAAAGUUAUUGUGACGGGGAAUAAUAGGACUAAGUCUGUAUUAGUUGGACUUCAGGGAGUUGUUAAGAAGGCUGUCGGGCUUGGUGGUUGGCAUUGGCUGGUUCUUACGAAUGGCAUAGAGGUGAAACUGCAGAGGAAUGCUUUAAGUGUGAUUGAAGCUCCUACUGGUAAUGAAGAUGAUGAUGACCUUGAAUUUGAAAAUGUUCAGUGGAAUGGUUCAGAUAUGGCAUCCGAUGAUACUCAAAAGUCUCAUAGGUCAAGACAUCGCGCUCUUAAACCAUACGGGUCAUCUCACAAGGCCAUGAGCCGCUCCCUUUCAUGUGACUCACAGUCGAAAGGAUCUAUUCCUGCACAUCGUGGGUCCAUGAAGGUUGACCUUAGCAAACUCGAGAUGGCUGCACUGUGGAGAUAUUGGCGACACUUUAACCUUAGGGAAGCUAUACCUAACCCUUCAAAGGAGCAACUCAUAGAUGUUGUUCAAAGGCACUUCACAUCCCAGCAAUUGGACGAGUUGCAGGUAAUUGUGGGAUUCGUUCAAGCAGCUAAGAGACUGAAGACGGUCUGCAAAUGACUCGGGGCAACCCCUUUUUAGCAUGCUCCUAACUCUCUCUAACAAAUAGUGGUACCUUUUGUGUGUCCACUCACUAUUGCAGUAAAAUGUGUAGUAUAUGUAUACUCCUCCUUCUAUGUCUUUUGCUUAGUCCCCUAGCUAGUUAUUGUUAUGUAGAUAAAGA
rnacentral:misc_RNA from 1 species